rnacentral:rRNA from 12 species
AUAACGGUCCUAAGGUAGCGAAAUUCCUUGUCGGGUAAGUUCCGACCUGCACGAAUGGUGUAACGAUCUGGGCACUGUCUCAGCCAUGAGCUCGGUGAAAUUGAAGUAUCGGUGAAGAUGCCGAUUACCCGCAACGGGACGAAAAGACCCCGUGCACCUUUACUAUAGCUUCACACUGGCAUUCGCCAAGGCAUGUGUAGGAUAGGUGGUAGGCUUUGAAACUUGGGCGCCAGCU